GGCUCAGGAUGAACGCUGGCGGCGUGCCUGACACAUGCAAGUCGAGCGAAGCACUUUAAUUUGAUUCUUCGGAUGAGGAUUUUUGUGACUGAGCGGCGGACGGGUGAGUAACGCGUGGGCAACCUGCCUUACACAGGGGGAUAACAGUUAGAAAUGACUGCUAAUACCGCAUAAGACCACAGUACUGCAUGGUGCAGUGGUAAAAACUCCGGUGGUGUAAGAUGGGCCCGCGUCUGAUUAGGUAGUUGGCGGGGUAACGGCCCACCAAGCCGACGAUCAGUAGCCGACCUGAGAGGGUGACCGGCCACAUUGGGACUGAGACACGGCCCAGACUCCUACGGGAGGCAGCAGUGGGGAAUAUUGCACAAUGGGGGAAACCCUGAUGCAGCGACGCCGCGUGAGCGAUGAAGUAUUUCGGUAUGUAAAGCUCUAUCAGCAGGGAAGAAAAUGACGGUACCUGACUAAGAAGCCCCGGCUAACUACGUGCCAGCAGCCGCGGUGAUACGUAGGG
rnacentral:rRNA from 1 species